GCCACGUCCUCAUCCUGCUUCUUGUCACGGCAUCGCCAGCAGAGCAGGAAGUUUUUCGGCAAUGUAACUAGUAAUUGUUGAAAAGGGAGCACAGGUUUCCUUUGGCAGUGAGAUGCACUGUGAGCCUAGGCAGUCUUGAGAAGGAAGCUAUUCUGUACUGAAUCAGCAUGGGAUAGAGUGCCUAGAAGACGUUCAGACCAAGCACAGCUAGCGCGUCCCUGCUGGUUCUCCAUUCUGCAUCCGUGCAGCCACGUUCUAUUGAUGGCCUGUUGUGAUUUCAAUGGAACAUCAUGGGAUGUACCUGGCACGUCGGGCAGCACUGGAUGGAGGUGCC
rnacentral:lncRNA from 1 species